GUGCUCGCUCCGGCAGGACGUAUGUUAAAAUUGGAACGAUACGGAGAAGACUAGCAUGGCCGCUGCACGAGCCUGACGUGCAAAUUCCAUAUUCUUUUGAUCAUAAC
ensembl:snRNA U6 U6 spliceosomal RNA